AGAAUCAGCUGCAUGAACCUCCACCAGUGAAAGAAGUUUCAGCGCUAGCAUCCCAACCCCCUCCAAGAAAAGCCAGCAUGCUCUUCUGAAGGUUUCAUGCAAGAUUUUCUCUGGGUUCUACACUCAGCAGCUUAAACAAACCAACCCAGCACCUGUGGCAGAAACACCAUCUAGAAACAGGACAUCCUACUUUCAGUUUACACGAUGGGAGUCUUUCCAGAACAAUCUUUUAAACUGAGGUCUGUCCUGCCUGCGAUAAGAGAGCAUUGAAGAUCACCUAGCUCUUUUCUUGUCUGCAGAGACCACAAUCCUUAGACAGCUUGACUCUGUUGGCCAAGAGACAGGUAGAACACAAAGGAACUGAGGCAAACAUUUUGGGAGAGCUACCAAAGACAGCAUGCCUCUCCUCAGACUUACUAAAUGAUCUUCAGCCAGUAAAAGCUCUUCAGUACAGAUCUGUGAUCCACACUGCACAGGGUGCUGGCAGGAAGGCAUCUACUAUCCCAGCUGAAGCAGCACAAAGAGCAAUCUACAAAAGGGUGCAGAAGGCCUAAGAAUAUGAUGAAGAGCACAAGCUAGGGUUGACAGUAAUACCAUUGUUGAAACUAUCUGCAGACUUUUUAGAAGCAAAAAUAGGAACAAUAAAAGCUCAGAGAGCUAGACAAUGACUAGUACCGUAAAGGAAAGUACAUAUCAUGAUAGCUUUGAAUUACAGAUAAACUUAUGACCUAUUAUUCAUGGGCAGUUUGGAGAUAACAUAAAAUCGGAGAAUUAAACUCAAAACAAUAUUAUUUGGUGGUUUCAUAAUCUCAUGAG